rfam:Oryza punctata chromosome 5, whole genome shotgun sequence.
AAUAAGUGCAAUUUUGCAUUGUUUAUGUCCAACGUUUGACCGUUCGUCUUAUUUGAUUGGUAUUUUUUUCCUUUUAGCAAUAAUGUUUGCAAUGAUUAGUAUUUCUAUUGUUAUUAGAUGAUAAAACAUGAAUAAUACUUUAUGUGUGAUUAUUUUUUUUAAUUUUUUCAUAAUUUUUUUAAAUAAGACGGACGGUCAAACAUUGGAUAUGAACAGUGCAAAACUAUACACUUAUU